rnacentral:rRNA from 1 species
GAUGAACGCUGGCGGCGUGCCUAAUACAUGCAAGUCGAGCGAACAGACGAGGAGCUUGCUCCUCUGACGUUAACGGCGGACGGGUGAGUAACACGUGGAUAACCUACCUAUAAGACUGGGAUAACUUCGGGAAACCGGAGCUAAUACCGGAUAAUAUAUUGAACCGCAUGGUUCAAUAGUGAAAGACGGUUUUGCUGUCACUUAUAGAUGGAUCCGCGCCGCAUUAGCUAGUUGGUAAGGUAACGGCUUACCAAGGCGACGAUGCGUAGCCGACCUGAGAGGGUGAUCGGCCACACUGGAACUGAGACACGGUCCAGACUCCUACGGGAGGCAGCAGUAGGGAAUCUUCCGCGAUGGGCGAAAGCUUGACGGAGCAACGCCGCGUGGGUGAUGAAGGUCUUCGGAUCGUAAAACUCUGUUAUUAGGGAAGAACAAAUGUGUAAGUAACUAUGCACGUCUUGACGGUACCUAAUCAGAAAGCCACGGCUAACUACGUG